rnacentral:rRNA from 1 species
UACGUAGGGUGCGAGCGUUAAUCGGAAUUACUGGGCGUAAAGCGUGCGCAGGCGGUUGCUGAAGUCCGUUGUGAAAGCCCCGGGCUUAACCUGGGAAUGGCAGUGGAAACUAGGCGACUUGAAUCUGGCAGAGGGGGGUGGAAUGCCACGUGUAGCAGUGAAAUGCGUAGAGAUGUGGCGGAACACCGAUGGCGAAGGCAGCCCCCGGGUCAAGAUUGACGCUCAUGCACGAAAGCGUGGGGAGCAAACAGG